rnacentral:rRNA from 1 species
AGUGAACGCUGGCGGUAGGCCUAACACAUGCAAGUCGAACGGCAGCACAGUAAGAGCUUGCUCUUACGGGUGGCGAGUGGCGGACGGGUGAGGAAUACAUCGGAAUCUACUUUUUCGUGGGGGAUAACGUAGGGAAACUUACGCUAAUACCGCAUACGACCUACGUGUGAAAGCAGGGGAUCUUCGGACCUUGCGCGAUUGAAUGAGCCGAUGUCGGAUUAGCUAGUUGGUGGGGUAAAGGCCCACCAAGGCGACGAUCCGUAGCUGGUCUGAGAGGAUGAUCAGCCACACUGGGACUGAGACACGGUCCAGACUCCUACGGGAGGCAGCAGUGGGGAAUAUUGGACAAUGGGCGCAAGCCUGAUCCAGCCAUACCGCGUGGGUGAAGAAGGCCUUCGGGUUGUAAAGCCCUUUUGUUGGGAAAGAAAAGCAGCAGGUUAAUACCCCGCUGUUCUGACGGUACCCAAAGAAUAAGCACCGGCUAACUUCGUG